rnacentral:rRNA from 1 species
CUGAUGCGUUGUUGGGUAGGGGAGCGUUCUGUAAGCCUGCGAAGGUGGCCUGUGAGGGUUGCUGGAGGUAUCAGAAGUGCGAAUGCUGACAUAAGUAACGAUAAAGCGGGUGAAAAGCCCGCUCGCCGGAAGACCAAGGGUUCCUGUCCAACGUUAAUCGGGGCAGGGUGAGUCGACCCCUAAGGCGAGGCCGAAAGGCGUAGUCGAUGGGAAACGGGUUAAUAUUCCCGUACUUGGUGUUACUGCGAAGGGGGGACGGAGAAGGCUAUGUUGGCCGGGCGACGGUUGUCCCGGUUUAAGCGUGUAGGUGUGUGUUCCAGGUAAAUCCGGUUCACUUUAACACUGAGGCGUGAUGACGAGGCACUACGGUGCUGAAGCAACAAAUGCCCUGCUUCCAGGAAAAGCCUCUAAGCAUCAGGUAACAUCAAAUCGUACCCCAAACCGACACAGGUGGUCAGGUAGAGAAUACCAAGGCGCUUGAGAGAACUCGGGUGAAGGAACUAGGCAAAAUGGUGCCGUAACUUCGGGAGAAGGCACGCUGACACGUAGGUGAAGUGAUUUACUCAUGGAGCUGAA